AGAGCGAACGCUGGCGGCAGGCCUAACACAUGCAAGUCGAACGGACCCUUCGGGGUUAGUGGCGGACGGGUGAGUAACACGUGGGAACGUGCCUUUAGGUUCGGAAUAGCUCCUGGAAACGGGUGGUAAUGCCGAAUGUGCCCUUCGGGGGAAAGAUUUAUCGCCUUUAGAGCGGCCCGCGUCUGAUUAGCUAGUUGGUGGGGUAAUGGCCCACCAAGGCUACGAUCAGUAGCUGGUCUGAGAGGAUGACCAGCCACAUUGGGACUGAGACACGGCCCAAACUCCUACGGGAGGCAGCAGUGGGGAAUCUUGCGCAAUGGGCGAAAGCCUGACGCAGCCAUGCCGCGUGUAUGAUGAAGGUCUUAGGAUUGUAAAAUACUUUCACCGGUGAAGAUAAUGACUGUAGCCGGAGAAGAAGCCCCGGCUAACUUCGUGCCAGCAGCCGCGGUAAUACGAAGGGGGCUAGCGUUGCUCGGAAUUACUGGGCGUAAAGGGAGCGUAGGCGGACAUUUAAGUCAGAGGUGAAAUCCCGGAGCUUAACUUCGGAACUGCCUUUGAUACUGGGUGUCUUGAGUGUGAGAGAGGUAUGUGGAACUCCGAGUGUAGAGGUGAAAUUCGUAGAUAUUCGGAAGAUCACCAGUGGCGAAGGCGACAUACUGGCUCAUUACUGACGCUGAGGCUCGAAAGCGUGGGGAGCAAACAGGAUUAGAUACCCUGGUAGUCCACGCCGUAAACGAUGAUUGCUAGUUGUCGGGAAGCUUGCUUCUCGGUGACGCAGCUAACG
rnacentral:rRNA from 1 species